rnacentral:rRNA from 1 species
CCUACGGGAGGCUGCAGUGAGGAAUAUUGGUCAAUGGGCGCGAGCCUGAACCAGCCAAGUCGCGUGAGGGAAGACGGUCCUAUGGAUUGUAAACCUCUUUUGUCGGGGAGCAAAAGAUGCCACUCGUGGCGUUCCGAGAGUACCCGAAGAAAAAGCAACGGCUAACUUCGCGCCAGCCGCCGCGGUAAUACGGGGGAUGCGAUCGUUAUCCGGAUUUAUUGGGCUGAAAGGGUGGGCAGGGGGAAGGUCAAGUCAGGGGGAAAAUUGAGAGGCUCAACCUCUUCGAGCCGUUGAAACUGGUUUUCUUGAGUGAGCGAGAGGUAUGCGGAAUGCGUGGUGUAGCGGUGAAAUGCUUAGAUAUCGCGCAGAACCCCGAUUGCGAAGGCAGCGUACCGGCUCCACACUGACGCUGAGGCACGAAAGCGUGGGUAUCGAACAGGAUUAGAUACCCUUGUAGUC